ensembl:lncRNA
AGAUGGGCUCCUGUCAUUAGGGUAGACAGAAUUUGGGCUAAAACUUUGAUUGUGGAGAUUGAGAGGAAGAAGAUGACUAUGAAAAUGUGAUGCAUUCAACGCAGUAGUAUUUCACAACGGUCAUAGAGGAUGCAUAGAAGACAAUGCGGGCUCAACAUGACUCUUGGCCUUUUUUUUGGCCUGGGAUGAGUCAGACAUGCCACUCUUGCUAUCGUAAUGAGGAAGUAGGGCACUUUGGUCAAUUGGGGAAGGAAGAGGAAAAUUGCUUUAUUCUCCACAGUUAAUUAAUGAUUAAUUAAUGAUGAUUUGUUGAACAACAUUUUACCUGUUGUACUAUGAGUACAGUUCUGUACUAGGUGCUUUCAGAAUAUCAAAUAAAAGGACAAUUUUUAAGUCAGUCAAAAUGCACAGAACAAUUAAAUAGCAACACAUGAACAAGAGAAGAUAGAAAUGAAUGUGUAUUUAUGUUCAGAGUACGUCACAGAUAACAGGAAGGAUAAUGGGUUAAGGGGCGCUGGCCAGAGGCAACUUUUUGGAUCCCUUAAAUUUUGAGCUAAGUUCCUAAGAGUUAACAUGACCUGUAGAAGAGUGUGGGGAAGAUAUGUUUUGGUCAGAGCAACACAAUGGCUCUGCUGAGCAAGAGAAGGCAUAGCCGGGUCUCUGGUGUCAGGGUGAUGGAAACUAGGGUGGGGGACCAGCCUGGUGGCGUAGUAGUUAAGUUUGUGCACUCUGCUUCAGCAGCCCAGGGUUUACCUGUUUGGACCCUGGGCACAGACUUACACAUUGCUUAUCUAGUCACGCUGUGGCAGCAUCCCACAUACAAAAUAGAGGAAGACUGGCACAGGUGUUAGCUCAGCAAUAAUCUUCUUCAAGCAAAACAAGAGGAAGAUUGGCAACAGAUGUUAGCUCAGGGCCAAUCUUCCUCAUUAGAAAAAAAAAAAACUGGGGUGGGAGCCAGGUUUACAAUGUACCUAUAUGAACAGUCGGAAAAGCAGGCCUAUCAUGAGGUCGUUGAUAAAGCCCUGGACGUUAGGAGGACCUUGCCUAGGAUGGCAACUGGGAAAAUAUGGAAAAGGUGAGUCUAAAGAAAUGCAGAUGACCUUUCUGGCUCUGUUGCCCAAGCAGACUGUGUUACAUUGGGAUGUGAAUCAGACAGGGUCUUAUUCAUCUUCCCUUAGAGUCUGGCACUCGGGGGGUGUUGAUACUUGUUUAUUGAAUGAGGGAGUGAAGGAAGGAAGGAAGGGAAGAAGGAAGGAAGGAAGGAAGGAAGUCGGCUACACUGGGAGGAUGCUUCAGCAGCAGGAGCAAGAUAAUAGCUAUUGAUCAGUGGCUGGAAGCUAUGGAGAGUUCAAGAAGAUUCUGAAUGGAGUAGAGCCAUUUUUCUUUACAGCAGUGAAGAAGUUAUUAACUAGAUGGGAAUUGUGGUUUCUUUUUGUGGUGGCGCAGGUGGAAGUUAAGCUGGAGAGGAUGCAUCUUUCUGACUCAAUUGGACGGACUGUUUAUACCGGGUCUUGAGCUUCCCCGCCAAUCAAUGUUGAUAUUUUUAAGGCUCCCUGGCUUCCUCUCUCACAGAAAUAAGACACAUCAAGAGCCAAAUUCCAGAGCUAAUUACCGACUGGUUCUCCAUCUCUGAAGGGAGCCCUCCACCUGUGUGGCUGUCGCCCGGAUUGAGGCAUUUCCUAAUGCCUGUGGUAUAGGCUCUAUGUUUGUGUGUUGAAAUUAAUGUCUUAAAAUUAAAGCGUUCUGAGAAUGAAUUUAUACCAAUAUAUGGAAUGUGUUGGUAUGUUCACUAUAAUUAGGAUAGUUUUGGCCACAAAUAUCAGAAAACCCAAUUCACAGUGCUUUAAGCAAUAAGUGAGGUGUUCGAAGGACAUGUGCAAUGCACCCUUAUUUUUCUGUCCAAAUUAUUAAUAGCACCCCUAUCACUCUCGAAAGUGCCCAGAUUUGAAUGAUAAAGUAUAUGGUCAUCCGUAUUGGUGUUCAAUGACUGCCAUAACAAAUUACUACAAACUUAGCGUCUUAAAACAAUGCAAAUUUAUUGCCUUACAGUAUUGUAGGUUAGAUGUCCACACAAGUCUCACUGGGCUGAAAUCAAGGUGUCAGCAGGGCUGAGUUCCUUCUAGAGGCUCUAGGGGAGAAUGCAUUUCAUUGCUUUUUCCCCGCUUCUAGAGGCUGCCUACAUUCCUUGGAUUGUGGCCCCUUCCCCCAGCAAUGUCCCCCUGAGUCCUCUUCACACUACUAUCUCUCUGGGCCUCACUCUGAUUCCCUUUCCCACUUUUAAGGGCUGUAGUGAUUACGAUGGGCCCACCCAGAUAAUCCAGGAUAACCUCCGUAUUUUAAGGUCAUCAGUCAAUUAGUAACCUUGAUUCCAUCUGUAACUUUAAUUCAACGUUGCACUGUAACCUAACAUAUUCACAGGAGCUUGGGAUUAGGCCAUGGACAUCCUUAGGGGGCCAUUAUCCAGCUCACCACAUCAUUCUACUCAUUAAGAGUGUUAUUACCAUAAACAUCAAGAAGUCCAGAAGCAGAGCGGCUCCAGGAGGGUAAAUUCACAGCUGUGCGACAGCAUCAUGGACCCAGGUUCUCACAUCUUUCUGUUGAGCCAUCUUCAGCAUGCCAACUUGUCUUUUGAUUUUGGGUGUGUGAUGGCUGCCUCAUUCUCAGGCAUUGUGCAGACACAACACAUCCAGCUGAAGGAACCACAGCGCACGAAGAGGCUGUUUCUUCUCAUGUAAUGAAAAUCUUUUCAGAAGCCCCACAAGAAGAUUCUUGUGCCUCAUUGGCCAGGAUUAUGGCACACCACAGACCACCCUCGGAAACAUACGGCUGAAACAGUGGAAGCCAGAGUAAGGGGAGUUUCUCAAGGGGAGGACACAGGGGGAAUGGCUCCUGGGCAGGCAACUAGCAGUGUCUGUGCAUUCCCAGAAAGAUGGGAGCAGUGCUCGCCAUUAACAAAUCAGCUGCUGAGGUUGGGACGAGGGACUUUGAACCCUCAGGGCAUUCUGCUGAUACGCCCUAGAUUCUAGUCAUGAAAUUCUUUGGGGUUAUGAAGAGGAUUAUAAUUUUGAUUAGAGUGGUGGCUCCAGAAAUCUUGAGGCAUAGCAAGAGUGUUUUAUGUUUUUCACAGGUGAAGGAAGUAGACCUUAUGGAAUAAAAUGGCAUGCACAGAAGGAGGGUCGGGACCAUUCCCCUCACAAGUCCAUCUUUUGCUUGUUCCUGAGCCUCACUGUGGCUACUUUGUUCUUUUUUACGACCCUGCCUGGAGUGGGUAUGAUCUUGAGGUACAAAAGCAGAACUUAUCAGCAUAUUUUUAUAUUUUAUAAUAACCUUGCGAGUUCUCUAGGCUGUCCGUGCUUGAAGCUUCAGUAACUGUAGCAGCUAAUCAUCUCGUAUACCUCUGUGAGAUUACGCAAUAUUGAUAGCUACAGCUGCAUAAUCCGGAGUAGUACAUUCCAGUAAACGAACGGGCUUUAUGGUCGCGUUAUUAUUACUGGCAGUAGGAUUCUAUGGUAAAGCACAAGGAGUCACAGGCAGUAAGAUGCACAUUGCUUCACGCCCCUGUGACAGUCUAGGUGGAAUGACUCGCCAGCAGGAGUAAAUGCCCACGGACUAACACACAGCAGCUCUUCAGUCCUGGGGGAAGCUGGCUGUUAAUACUAUAAGAAAAUUGCCCCUGAGAUGAUUAGAAUGGGGUGGGAUGACCAACAGGUAUUGCAGUGUCCCAUCCCAGUUUUUCCACUGCUGUGGAUAAGAGUGUGGUUUUCUCAGAUGAUUGUAUGGGAAAAACUGGUUUAAAACAUGAAUAUGCUAUUUCUUUAUUACACCAAAUUAUUAUCUUCAUGUAACUUAUUCAUUUAAUCAGUAAGUAUUUAUUGAGGACCUACUAUGUGCUGGCUACCAUUCCAGCCUGUUAGGAUGGGUCAGUGAACCAAACAAAUAUCCCUUUCCUCACGGAGCUUAUAUUCCCACGGUAGACUGACAAUAAAAGGUAAAUACAGCAAAUCCGUAAAUUACAUGGUGUGUUAGAAGGUGAUAAGUGUCCUGGGAAAAGAAAAUGUUGAGCAGGUUCAAGGGGUUAGAAGUGUGAAGAGAGUGGUAGGAGAGGAGGGUUAGUGUUCACGAUUUUAAAUAAGGUGGUCAGAGGAGGUCUCAUUGAGCAGGUGAUACUCAAGCAAAAAAUUGGAGGUGAGGGAGAUAGCCAUGCAAACAGGAGAAAUAUAAAUCAGAUUGUGUCUCUCCCCGACAUCCCUGUCACAUUUAAAGCCGUUCAAAGUCUUCCCAUAGCUCAUACAGAAGUCUAAACCUUUUAACAGGACCUCAUAUAAGGUUGUUUCUCCUGUCUCAAACCUUAUUCAUUGCUCGCUUCCCCCAGCCCUUACGUACUCCAGCCACACUGGUCGACCUUCUGUUCCUUCAAGGUCUUCUGCUGCCUGAGACCCUUUUCCCUGGAGGUUUAUCAGGGCUGACUUCUGGCUCCUUCUCACCCAUCUCCUCAGAGAGACCUACCUGUGCUCAGGAAGUGUAAAUUGCCCAGCCCCCAGUUCCACUACCAUAGCAUCCUAUUGAUGUUUAUCACAAGCUGACAUUUUCUUGUUUAUAAACUUGUUUCCUUAUGUUUCCCAUCUUUCUCUUUUAGAAAGUAAGCACCGUGCAAGGACCUUAUACUUGGAAAGGGACCUUAUCCAUCCUAUUUUUUAUUUUAUCUCUAAAAUUUAGAGCACACAAUACAUGUUAAGUGAACAAAUGCAUGCAUGCUUGAGUGUAUGAGCCUUGAAGGCUUAUUGGUUUGCAGCAAUUUAAGACUUACGCACCUAUCCCCACCAUCACACUCACACAUAAGACAUAGCUAAUGCUUUUGUAUUGUUGCAGAGGAGGUGAUCAUGGAUGGGGGAGAGUUAACCUGCACCAGUCUGCUGUCUCCUACCAAGAGACUCUGUUAGUCAGACCUGAGGUGUAGUGUGUUUACAAAUAAAUCAACCCAACCCUGAGACAUACUGUAAGUGACUGAUAUGGCAGCUGUUUAAUAGCGUACCUGCUCUAUAGCAGGUUAAAUUAGAUAGUCAGAUGACCAUUCAUUGCUAUUUCAGAGGCUAUCUAUCAUCUGUCUAUUUCUCUAUCAUCUAUCUAUCUGUUUCUCUAUCAUCUAUCUAUCUAUUUCUCUAUCAUCUGUCCAUCUAUCUAUCAUCUAUCUAUCUACCUCUGUCUAUUUAUGUAUCUAUCUAUCCAUCAUAUGCUGGUCCUGGUGGUCUAGUGGUUAAGAUUUGGUGCUCUUGCUGCUGUGGCCCAGGUUCACUUCCAGUCAGGGAACCACACCGCCAGUCGGUCGCUUGUCAUACUGUGGUGGCUGUGUGUUGCUGUGAUGCUGAAAGCUAUGCCACUGGUAUUUCAAAUACCAGCAGGGUCACCCAUGGUGGACAGGUUUUGGCAGAGCUUCCAGACUAAGACAGACCAGGAAGAAGGACCUGGCCACCCACUGCCGAUACAAUUGGCCAUGAAAACCUGAUGAACAGCAGUGGAGCAUUGUCUGAUACAGCGCUGGAAGGUGAGAGCAUGGCGCAAAAAGACCCAGCACGCUUCAUCUCUGCUCUGCCCAGGGUUGCGAGGAGUCAGAAUCGACUGGGUGGUACUAACAACAAAUCCUUCGCCUACUAUCUGUCUAGCUGUCUGCGAUCUACCAACCGUCUACUAUCUAUUUAUCUCAUGUGUCUAUCAGAAAAUUUGAAUUAGAAUCUUAACCAGGCUUGGCAUUGCUCUGAAGAAAAUCGAGAAAAACCAGCUAUCAGCACGUAGCUACAGGUGGCACCACCUGCUUAUUUUCCACUCUUUUCAGGACAGCUGUUCUUGGCAAUAUGUUUUAUUCUUCUAAAAUUAGGUGAUAGAAACAAAGAAAAGCAAAAGAUAGGGGCUAUUUCCUUGGGUUUACUUUUCUCAAGUUUCUUUAGAAACCAAAUCAUAUGUGACUGGUCUACAGAAGGCAUUCUAUUAGACGAAAGUCUGUGGAGUUAAAGGAUAUGAAUAUUUUAAAGAUGAUCCUUUUUGUUAAAAUGCUUUCCAUAAAGGUUGUGUAAGGAUUGCAUGGAUGAGUGGGUGAAUAAAUGGAAUAAAGGUGAACGAUGCACUUUAUUUGAGGAGGCAGCAUGUUGUAAUAGAAAGCUCGAGGGCUUAUGAUUUCUUCCUGACAUGUCUAAAACUGGAAUAACUCAGGGGAAUUAGCAUAACCUCUGAAAAAGAAUAUUGCAUUUUUAAAAAAUGUGGAAAAGCAACUUCUAUCUGUAAGUUCAAACAAGAAUGGUAUGCCUAAUUUUUCACCUAUCCAUUAGCAAAGAUUAAAAGUAGUAAUAGUCAUGGUACGGAUGUUGUAAGAUAAAACACCAGUCACUGCUGGUGUGAGUUGAUAUAACCUUCCUGGAAAGAAAUUUGAUAAAAUGUAACAAGAGUCUUAAAAAUUUCCAUACCCUUUAUUCCAAUUAUUCAUCUUUUAAUUGAUUUUCUUGCCAAGCAUGAUUUGUGUAUAAAGAGGUUUAUUGCAAUGUUUUUUGAAAUAGUGAAAAUCUGGCAACAUCUAAAUGUACAUGAGUAGAAUGAUUAACUAAAUGGUAGAAUAUCUAUAUAAGAGCAUAUUAUGCUACCAUUAAAACUUAUGAAUAUGAUGUAGUGUUAAAUUAAAAAUUAGGAUAUGAAAUUAUGUGUAGAUUACAAAUUCAGCUAUGAGAAAGAAAAUAUACUGAAAAACUAUUGGAGGAAAAUACGUUAAAAUAUUCAGUGAUUGUCUCUGGAUGGUGGAAUUACAGAUUUUUUCCGCCUAAAUACUAUUUGUAUCUUUCCAUAUCUUUCCCAAUGAGCAUGGCUUAUUUUGAUCCUCAUGAAAGAAAGUUUUUUUCACUAAAAUCUUUGGAGGCAGAACUAGAUUCUAAUUUAGGCCCUACCAAGUACUAGUUGUGCGAUAUUUGGUAAAUUAUUUAAUGUCUCUGAGCCUCAAUUUAUCAUCUGUAAAAUGGGGAAGUUAACUUCCAGCUUGCAAGGGUGCUCUGAUGCUUAAACAAGAUCCCGUAUUUAAAGAGCUAAGCAAAAUUGCUGGCACGUGGGGGCUGGCCCCGUGGCCGAGUGGUUAAGUUCGCGCGCUCCGCUGCAGGCGGCCCAGUGUUUCGUUGGUUCGAAUCUUGGGCGCGGACAUGGCACUGCUCAUCAGACCACGCUGAGGCAGCAUCCCACAUGCCACAGCUAGAAGAACCCACAACGAAGAAUACACAACUAUGUACCGGGGGGCUUUGGGGAGAAAAAGGAAAAAAUAAAAAUCUUUAAUAAAAAAAAAAAAAUUGCUGGCACAUGUUAGACAGUAAACAGAACUUAUUACAAUUAUUACUCUGGGGUUUGAGGUGAUUACAAGCUGGUAGGAGUAUUUUAUUUUUAACUUUACUAAUUAAUCUUUUACUUUUUAUUUCACACUUCAACAUUUUACAGAAAAAAAUAAUCAUUUGAUGUUAAACUCCAGUUGAUUACCUUUGUGUGUGUCUUCUGAUACUUUUCAAUGUAGAG